GGGACAACAGUUGGAAACGACUGCUAAUACCGCAUAAGCCCACGGAUCCGCAUGGAUCUGCGGGAAAAGGAUUUAUUCGCUCUAGGAUGGACUCGCGUCCAAUUAGCUAGUUGGUGAGGUAACGGCCCACCAAGGCGACGAUUGGUAGCCGGACUGAGAGGUUGAACGGCCACAUUGGGACUGAGACACGGCCCAGACUCCUACGGGAGGCAGCAGUGGGGGAUAUUGCACAAUGGGGGAAACCCUGAUGCAGCGACGCCGCGUGGAGGAAGAAGGUUUUCGGAUUGUAAACUCCUGUCGUUAGGGACGAUAAUGACGGUACCUAACAAGAAAGCACCGGCUAACUACGUGCCAGCAGCCGCGGUAAAACGUAGGGUGCAAGCGUUGUCCGGAAUUACUGGGUGUAAAGGGAGCGCAGGCGGACCGGCAAGUUGGAAGUGAAAACUAUGGGCUCAACCCAUAAAUUGCUUUCAAAACUGCUGGCCUUGAGUAGUGCAGAGGUAGGUGGAAUUCCCGGUGUAGCGGUGGAAUGCGUAGAUAUCGGGAGGAACACCAGUGGCGAAGGCGACCUACUGGGCACCAACUGACGCUGAGGCUCGAAAGCAUGGGUAGCAAACAGGAUUAGAUACCCUGGUAGUCCAUGCCGUAAACGAUGA
rnacentral:rRNA from 1 species